rnacentral:rRNA from 1 species
AGAGUUUGAUCCUGGCUCAGGAUGAACGUUGGCGGUGUGCCUAAUACAUGCAAGUCGAACGGAGUUAAUAGCAAUAUUGACUUAGUGGCGAACGGGUGAGUAACGCGUUGGUGAUCUGCCUCGAAGUGUGGAAUAACGUUCCGAAAGGAACGCUAAUACCGCAUGUGCUCUCGAUUUUUAGAAAGUUGAGAGUAAAGGAUAUAUUCGCUUCGAGAGGAGCCUGCGUCCCAUCAGCUGGUUGGUAGGGUAACGGCCUACCAAGGCUAUGACGGGUAGGGGACCUGAGAGGGUGGCCCCCCACAAUGGAACUGAAACACGGUCCAUACACCUACGGGUGGCAGCAGUAGGGAAUAUUAGAAAUGGACGAAAGUCUGAUCUAGCAACACCGCGUGUGCGAAGAAGGCCUUCGGGUCGUAAAGCACUUUUUGGAAGGAAUAGGAAGGAAUGUACUUCCAGAAUAAGUCUCGGCUAACUACGUGCCAGCAGCCGCGGUAACACGUAGGAGGCGAACGUUAUCCGGAUUUACUGGGCGUAAAGCGCGUGUAGGUGGUUCUGUAAGUAGGGCGUGAAAGCUCCCGGCUCAACUGGGAGAGGCCGUUCUAAACUACAGAACUAGAGGAUGGUAGAGGGAGGUGGAAUUCCAGGUGUAGCGGUGGAAUGCGCAGAUAUCUGGAGGAACACCAGUGGCGAAGGCGGCCUCCUGGACCAUUCCUGACACUCAGACGCGAAAGCUAGGGUAGCAAACGGGAUUAGAGACCCCGGUAGUCCUAGCCCUAAACGAUGUAGACUAGCGUCGGUGGUUUAAUCACCAUCGGUGUCCAAGCUAACGCGAUAAGUCUACCGCCUGGGACUACGGCCGCAAGGUUAAAACUCAAAUGAAUUGACGG